rnacentral:lncRNA from 1 species
AUCCUCUCCAGAGAGCAAAAUUAGGUCUGGCCGUUCUCCCCUGUCAAAAGAAUAACUCUGAACUCGAAAUAGGGGUAUUUAAAGGUGAGGAGCGCAACAGAAAACAGGCCCAAGCCCAACGAGCCACCGCCCAACGGUUUAAGUGUGUCGCCUGGCGGUUUCCCAUAAUCCUCCAAAACGCCCGGCGGCAAUCGCCACCGCCCGGCGGUUUCCCUCAGAACUGCCCAACGCCAAUCGCCAUGCCUACUCCUUGUCCUGAUCGCCCGGCGGUUUAAGUGUGUCGUCGGGCUGUACGUCGAC